rnacentral:rRNA from 1 species
GCAGUAGCCACGGGAAUACGUAGGUGGCAAGCGUUGUCCGGAAUUAUUGGGCGUAAAGGGCUCGCAGGCGGUUUCUUAAGUCUGAUGUGAAAGCCCCCGGCUCAACCGGGGAGGGUCAUUGGAAACUGGGAAACUUGAGCGCAGAAGAGGAGAGUGGAAUUCCACGUGUAGCGGUGAAAUGCGUAGAGAUGUGGAGGAACACCAGUGGCGAAGGCGACUCUCUGGUCUGUAACUGACGCUGAGGAGCGAAAGCGUGGGGAGCGAACAGGAUUAGAUACCCGUGUAGUCCCUGUCUCUUAUAC